GUCGAGGGGAACGGCAUCAAGCGCUUGCGCCUGAUGGACGUCGACCGGCGCACGGGUGAGUAACGCGUAUCCAACCUGCCCCACACUAAGGGACAACCCGCAGAAAUGUGGGCUAAUACCUUAUAUUUUCCACCAAGGGCAUCGUCGAUGGAACAAAGAUUUAUCGGUAUGGGAUGGGGAUGCGUCCGAUUAGGUUGUUGGCGGGGUAACGGCCCACCAAGCCAUCGAUCGGUAGGGGUUCUGAGAGGAAGGUCCCCCACAUAGGAACUGAGACACGGUCCUAACUCCUACGGGAGGCAGCAGUGAGGAAUAUUGGUCAAUGGGCGGGAGCCUGAACCAGCCAAGUAGCGUGCAGGAAGACGGCCCUAUGGGUUGUAAACUGCUUUUAUGCGGGGAUAAAGGAGUCCACGUGUGGGCUUUUGCAGGUACCGCAUGAAUAAGGACCGGCUAAUUCCGUGCCAGCAGCCGCGGUAAUACGGAAGGUCCGGGCGUUAUCCGGAUUUAUUGGGUUUAAAGGGAGCGUAGGCCGCGUUUUAAGCGUGUUGUGAAAUGUAGGCGCCCAACGUCUGCAUCGCAGCGCGAACUGGAACGCUUGAGUACGCGCAACGUUGGCGGAAUUCGUCGUGUAGCGGUGAAAUGCUUAGAUAUGACGAAGAACUCCGAUUGCGAAGGCAGCUGACGGGAGCGGCACUGACGCUUAAGCUCGAAGGUGCGGGUAUCAAACAGGAUUAGAUACCCUGGUAGUCCGCACGGUAAACGAUGGAUGCUCGCUGUGUGCCUUUUGU
rnacentral:rRNA from 1 species